GCGAAAGCGAGGUAACGCAGGGAACUGAAACAUCUAAGUACCUGUAGGAAGAGAAAGAAAAAUCGAUUUCCUAAGUAGCGGCGAGCGAAAGGGAAAGAGGCCAAACCGUUAGUUUACUAACGGGGUUGUGGAUCACAGCCGUGGUAGAUACAAGUUUAGCAGAAGACAACUGGAAAGUUUGCGACACAGAGGGUAAUAUCCCCGUAUGCGAAAAAUGAGUAUCACCUAUGUGACACCGGAGUAGGACCGAACACGUGGAAUUCGGUUUGAAGCCGGGGGGCCCACCCCCCAAGCCUAAAUACUACCCAGUGACCGAUAGUGAAUAGUACCGUGAGGGAAAGGUGAAAAGGACCCCGGGAGGGGAGUGAAAUAGAACCUGAAACCUUAUGCUUACAAGCAGAGGGAGCGCAAGUGACCUCGUACUUUUUGUAGAACGGGCCAACGAGUUAUGGUAUGCAGCGAGGUUAAGGUGCUGGAGCACUGGAGCCGUAGAGAAAUCGAGUCUGAAAGGGCGAAAGUUGCAUGCUGUAGACCCGAAACCGGGUGAUCUAUCCAUGUCCAGGUUGAAGUAACUGUAAUAGGUUAUGGAGGACCGAACUUAUAUCUGUUGAAAAAGGUUAGGAUGAGGUGUGGAUAGGGGUGAAAUUCCAAUCGAACUCGGAUAUAGCUGGUUCUCCUCGAAAUAGCUUUAGGGCUAGCCUCGUAGUAAGAUACCUGGGGGUAGAGCACUGAAUGUUCUAGGGGCCUUCACCGGUUACCGAAAACUAUCAAACUCCGAAUACCAGAGUAUCAUCUACGGGAGUCAGACUAUGUGAGAUAAGUUUCAUAGUCGAAAGGGAAACAGCCCAGACCGUCAGCUAAGGUCCCAAAAUAUAGGUUAAGUGGAAAAGGAUGUGGGGUUGCACAGACAGCUAGGAUGUUGGCUUAGAAGCAGCCAUUCAUUCAAAGAGUGCGUAAUAGCUCACUAGUCGAGUGACCCUGCGCCGAAGAUAAACGGGGCUAAAACCUAUUACCGAAGCUACGGAUACUUAAUGUAUGGUAGAGGAGCGUCGUAUACGGGUUGAAGCAGUACUGUAAGGUAUUGUGGACUUUAUACGAGAGAGAAUGUUGGCAUGAGUAGCGCGAGGCAGGUGAGAAUCCUGCCCACCGAAAAUCUAAGGUUUCCUGAGGAAGGUUCGUCCACUCAGGGUUAGUCGGGGCCUAAGCCGAGGGCGAAAGCCAUAGGCGAUGGAUAACAGGUAGAAAUUCCUGUACCACCGAAGGUUGUUUGAAUGAUGUGGGGACACAGGAGGAUAAGCUGAGCACGCCGUUGGUAGAGCGUGUCCAAGCGUCAAGGGAGUAUGAAUAGGCAAAUCCGUUCAUAUAUAUUCUGAGGCGUGAUGGGGUGGUCAAUAGACCGGAAGCAGCUGAUUUCACACUGUCAAGAAAAGCCGCUAAUUAGACCUAAGGUGCCCGUACCGCAAACCGACACAGGUAGAUGAGGAGAGAAUCCUAAGGUGAGCGAGAGAACUAUUGUUAAGGAACUCGGCAAAAUAACCCCGUAACUUCGGGAGAAGGGGUGCCUGCUUCGGCAGGCCGCAGUGAAAAGGCCCAGGCAACUGUUUACCAAAAACACAGGUCUCUGCAAAAGCGAAAGCUGAAGUAUAGGGGCUGACGCCUGCCCGGUGCUGGAAGGUUAAGGGGACGUGUCAUCGCAAGAGAAGCACUGAACUUAAGCCCCAGUAAACGGCGGCCGUAACUAUAACGGUCCUAAGGUAGCGAAAUUCCUUGUCGGGUAAGUUCCGACCCGCACGAAAGGCGUAAUGA
rnacentral:rRNA from 1 species